UAGAUAACACGGGUAUCACAU
rnacentral:miRNA from 1 species